ACCGCGAUAGCUGAGCUGGAAGAGCAUCUUCCCGGUAUGCGGAGGAUCGCCGGCUCGAUCGCGGCUCGCGGUG
rnacentral:tRNA from 1 species